rnacentral:rRNA from 1 species
AGUGAACGCUGGCGGCGUGCUUAACACAUGCAAGUCGAACGAGAACGGAUUAUAGCUUGCUAUAAUUGUCAGCUAAGUGGCGCACGGGUGAGUAAUAUAUAGGUAACGUGCCCCAAAGAAGAGGAUAACAGAUGGAAACGUCUGCUAAGACUCUAUAUGCCUUUAAGACUUAAGUCUGCAAGGGAAAUAUUUAUAGCUUUGGGAUCGGCCUGUACAGUAUCAGUUAGUUGGUGAGGUAAUGGCUCACCAAGACAAUGACGCUUAACUGGUUUGAGAGGAUGAUCAGUCACACUGGAACUGAGACACGGUCCAGACUCCUACGGGAGCAG